rnacentral:rRNA from 1 species
CAGCAGUGAGGAAGGUCAGGUACGUUAAUAGCGUGCUUGUUUGACGUUAGCUGCUAGAAGAAGCACCGGCUAACUCCGUGCCAGCAGCCGCGGUAAUACGGAGGGUGCGAGCGUUAAUCGGAAUUACUGGGCGUAAAGCGCAUGCAGGUGGUUCGUUAAGUCAGAUGUGAAAGCCCGGGGCUCAACCUCGGAAUUGCAUUUGAAACUGGCGGACUAGAGUACUGUAGAGGGGGUAGAAUUUCAGGUGUAGCGGUGAAAUGCGUAGAGAUCUGAAGGAAUACCGGUGGCGAAGGCGGCCCCCCUGGACAGAUACUGACACUCAGAUGCGAAAGCGUGGGGAGCAAACAGGAUUAGAUACCCUGGUAG